rnacentral:lncRNA from 12 species
GCUGAAGUCAAAGUUUCUGGAGCUGCUGCCUCCGCAGAAACCUGACCGGCCAGUGGCUCUCUAGGGACAGGCGGUGGCUUACCUUCCGCGUGGAAUUCACGAAACACAGAUCACUGUCUGCCAGAACUACAAGGCGCCCACCAAAGCUUUUUUUUUUUUUUUUUUAAGAUUUUAUUUAUUUAUUCCUGUGACACACACACACAGAGAGAGAGGCAGAGACACAGGCAGAGGGAGAAGCAGGCCCCACGCACGGAGCCCGAUGCGGGGACUCGAUCCUGGGACUCCGGGGUCACACCCUGGGCCGAAAGCAGAUGCUCAACCGCUGGGCCACCCAGGCGUCCCUACCCACCAGAGUUACAGAGGGUGUUUGAUUAGAUCCCGCCUGUCGGGGGUCGGGGGGGACCCAGGAGCUCCCACGGGGGCCCCCGAGGGGGUGGUGCCCAUGGGGUCAGCCACCUCCGGGGGGUGUUGCUGCAGGCCCCUCCGAGUCUCUUAACAUCCCGAAGAAGAAAGGGGACGAGGACAGCAGGGCAGGAGAACCAGGGCAAAGGACGCAUGCAGACUUCAGCACAUGAUGAGCUGGGCCCCUGCCCCGGCGCUGCUUCAGCUGAGCGUGAGUCCUGCUUCCCGAAGCGCCGGGAGGACUUGCACCAGGUCAUCCUCAAGGUCAUCAUUACAAGAGGCGAAGACGGUCACAUCUCCUUUUUCAACCUGCUUUGUAAAAGACACCUGGAGGAUUUACAACUUGACUUUCUAUGAGGGCAGAAGGCGUAACAUGCCUUCAAGAGUCGUCGUGUUCCUCUACUUUACCUACAACACCUGCAACAAUGAACGUGAAGACCUGUGGCGAACCCUGCUCUGAUUACUUCAGGGGCCCUGAGUAG